AGCGAACGCUGGCGGCAGGCCUAACACAUGCAAGUCGAACGAAGUCUUCGGACUUAGUGGCGGACGGGUGAGUAACACGUGGGAACGUACCUUUUGGUUCGGAACAACUCAGGGAAACUUGAGCUAAUACCGGAUGAGCCCUUAGGGGGAAAGAUUUAUCGCCGAAAGAGCCGCCCGCGUUAGAUUAGCUAGUUGGUGAGGUAAAGGCUCACCAAGGCUACGAUCUAUAGCUGGUCGGGGAGGAUGAUCAGCCACACUGGGACUGAGACACGGCACAGAGUCGUACGGGAGGCAGCAGUGGAGAAUCUUGCACAAUGGGCGAAAGCCUGACGCAGACAUGCCGCCUGAAUGAUGAAGGUCUUAGGAUUGUAAAAUUCUUUUACCAGGGACGAUAAUGACGGUACCUGGAGAAAAAGCCCCGGCUAACUUCGUGCCAGCCGCCGCCGUAA
rnacentral:rRNA from 1 species